CCUACGGGUGGCAGCAGUGAGGAAUAUUGGUCAAUGGACGAGAGUCUGAACCAGCCAAGUAGCGUGAAGGAUGACUGCCCUAUGGGUUGUAAACUUCUUUUAUAUGGGAAUAAAAUGUUCCACGUGUGGGAUUUUGUAUGUACCAUAUGAAUAAGGAUCGGCUAACUCCGUGCCAGCAGCCGCGGUAAUACGGAGGAUCCGAGCGUUAUCCGGAUUUAUUGGGUUUAAAGGGAGCGUAGGUGGAUUGUUAAGUCAGUUGUGAAAGUUUGCGGCUCAACCGUAAAAUUGCAGUUGAAACUGGCAGUCUUGAGUACAGUAGAGGUGGGCAGAAUUCGUGGUGUAGCGGUGAAAUGCUUAGAGAUCACGAAGAACUCCGAUUGCGAAGGCAGUUCACUGGACUGCAACUGACGCUGAGGCUCGAAAGUGUGGGUAUCAAACAGGAUUAGAUACCCCUGUAGUC
rnacentral:rRNA from 1 species